rnacentral:misc_RNA from 1 species
CACUUUCAGGGCCAAUUUCACAUAAAACGAGCUAGCUUAGGAUCAUAAAAAGAACUAUUGGCUUCGAAAUCAUAACACUGUGUAAGCUAGAAAAGUUACAUGCUCAGUUAAUAUCCAAUUCCGAUAGCUUCAACAAAUGCAUAUUCAUUCAAUUACAAAGAGAAUGCCAAUGAAAAAUAAAAUAGAAAAGGAAUUCCUCAUUGAUAUAUACAGAAAAUUCAAAUACCUAAAAUUUGAUCGUCUAUUUUGGAAGAUUAAUCAAAUUAGAUAAGAACAAAAGCGAAGCUGAAACAAACCAUACCCAUUUUAUAAGAAGGGCAAAAACCCAUCCCCAACAAAUGACUCCACAGUGUCCCUUCAUUUCAAAGCUUAAAA